rnacentral:rRNA from 1 species
GGGUCAGUAGGCUGGUCGUGCCACCGGUACGUACUGGUCUCACUGAUUCCUCCUUCCUGAAGAACCGUAAUGCCCUUAAUUUGGUGUUGCGGGGAAACAGGACUGUUACUUUUAAAAAAUUAGAGUGUUUAAGGCAAGCUAACGCUUGAAUACAUUAGCAUGGAAUAAUGAAAUAGGACGAUCGAUCCUAUUUUGUUGGUUUCUAGGAUUGACGUA